AGUGAACGCUGGCGGUAGGCCUAACACAUGCAAGUCGAACGGCAGCACAGUAAGAGCUUGCUCUUACGGGUGGCGAGUGGCGGACGGGUGAGGAAUACAUCGGAAUCUACUUUUUCGUGGGGGAUAACGUAGGGAAACUUACGCUAAUACCGCAUACGACCUACGGGUGAAAGCAGGGGAUCUUCGGACCUUGCGCGAUUGAAUGAGCCGAUGUCGGAUUAGCUAGUUGGCGGGGUAAAGGCCCACCAAGGCGACGAUCCGUAGCUGGUAUGAGAGGAUGAUCGGCCACACUGGAACUGAGACACGGUCCAGACUCCUACGGGAGGCAGCAGUGGGGAAUAUUGGACAAUGGGCGCAAGCCUGAUCCAGCCAUACCGCGUGGGUGAAGAAGGCCUUCGGGUUGUAAAGCCCUUUUGUUGGGAAAGAAAAGCAGCAGGUUAAUACCCCGCUGUUCUGACGGUACCCAAAGAAUAAGCACCGGCUAACUUCGUG
rnacentral:rRNA from 1 species